GGGAGAUUGUGUAGCCACACACCUUUUCUUCUCUCCUCUGGGCUCAGCAAUCACCAAACCUGUGGGAGCAGUGGCAACACCCAUGGUCAUUAAUACUGAGGGUGCAAUGCAGGAAUUGCCACACUGGGCUAAACUUUUGAUGUCCUCGAGGGACUGCACAGCCAAGUGACUUUGAUGGAUCACAGCAGCACUUGAAACCGAGCAGGGAAAGAUUAGCGUGUCUCAGGCAGAGAGAUUCCACUCACCUGAUUCUUUUCUGUUCUGAUGAGAUAAUUUUUCUAAUUAACCUUGAUAACACUUCCAGACACCAAGGCCUAUCCACACACGGAUGGAAAUACAUUUUCAAAUGGACAUUUCACUCCUACCCAUGUUUGCUAGUAGUGAAUAGAGGAAUUUAACACCUUUGUUGCCAACUGAUUUGUUUGGAUAACUAAAGCUGAGCCCCCUUAACAGAAGGAGAAGCUGCCCCCAAGAGCUUUUGGCAGAAAUCCAGGCUUCCAUAGGCACUGAGGUGUCUUGUGCUCACUGAUGGAAUAAAGGAAGCAAUAUGAAUUUAGGAGCAA